rnacentral:rRNA from 1 species
GAUGAACGCUGGCGGCGUGCCUAAUACAUGCAAGUCGAGCGAACGGACGAGAAGCUUGCUUCUCUGAUGUUAGCGGCGGACGGGUGAGUAACACGUGGAUAACCUACCUAUAAGACUGGGAUAACUUCGGGAAACCGGAGCUAAUACCGGAUGAUAUUUUGAACCGCAUGGUUCAAAAGUGAAAGACGGUCUUGCUGUCACUUAUAGAUGGAUCCGCGCUGCAUUAGCUAGUUGGUAAGGUAACGGCUUACCAAGGCAACGAUGCAUAGCCGACCUGAGAGGGUGAUCGGCCACACAGGAACUGAGACACGGUCCAGACUCCUACGGGAGGCAGCAGUAGGGAAUCUUCCGCAAUGGGCGAAAGCCUGACGGAGCAACGCCGCGUGAGUGAUGAAGGUCUUCGGAUCGUAAAACUCUGUUAUUAGGGAAGAACAUAUGUGUAAGUAACUGUGCACAUCUUGACGGUACCUAAUCAGAAAGCCACGGCUAACUACGUG